UACAGAGGGUGCGAGCGUUAAUCGGAAUUACUGGGCGUAAAGCGUGCGUAGACGGUUAUGUAAGUCGGGUGUGAAAGCCCCGGGCUCAACCUGGGAAUUGCAUUCGAGACUGCAUAGCUAGGAUGCGGAAGAGGGAAGCGGAAUUUCCGGUGCAGCGGUGAAAUGCGUAGAUAUCGGAAGGAACAUCAGUGGCGAAAGCGGCUUCCUGGUCCAGCAUCGACGUUCAGGCACGAAAGCGUGGGGAGCAAACAGG
rnacentral:rRNA from 1 species